GGGAGGGAGCGAGGGAGGGAGGGAGGCGCGCUCGGCCCCGCUUACCUCUCGAAGAGGAGCCGCACCAUGAAGAUGCAGAAGGCCAGCGGGAAGGCGAGGUACAGGUCCUCAGCCUGCGGGAAGGUGGCCUCCUCCGUGCUCUUCAGGACUUCUCUGCGUCCAGCAGAUUCUGCUGUGUCCCCAAGCAUACAACAGGAAGUGUUGAUAACAAGGACUUCCAGCUCAAGGGAGCAAGGAAACAUUCUGUGUUGAAGAGGUCAAGGAAAGCUUUGAGGAAGAGGCAGAAAUGGAACCAGACUUCAAAGAAUGAGGAGGUUUAAAAAGAGAGAAGUCUCCCGGGCUUUCAUUUACAUCGUAUUUGGGGAGAGGGUUGGACAAGAAGCAGUAGGAUUCAUCCCCAUGGUGUGCAAGUCACCCGUAGCAAUGCAGUAAACUCAACAUCCCUGAGGAUCUUAAGAAAAGGAUAAGAGUGUUUACCUCACAACAUGGGAGGUAUUAGUUAGGAAGAAAUGCUGCAAAGCUGAAGAAAAAGAUGAACCAGCAGCUUCAUCAAGCAGUGAACUUCCUGUCUUAGGAAGUGCUCACGCAGAAGUCUACCCGUUACAAAUGUUGGAAGACUUCUCCCUCUCUGAAACUGACUUGGAAAUUAAUGUCCUCUAGAUUCCCUUUAAUAUUUCGGAAUUCGCAUAAAGCGCUAUGGAGAGAGGGGCAAGGAUGAAACCAGAAUCUGCCUUGCCCUAAGAAGUUUCUUCAGUUAGGAAAAGAUGCUAGUCAGUGCACUAAUAUUUUAGGACCUCUUGGUCUUUUUUUUUUUUUUUUUUUUUUUAAGAAGCAGGCUCCAUGCAGGAAGCCCAACGUGGGACUCAAUCCCAGGACCCCAGGAUCGCACCCUGGGCUGAAGGCAGGCGCCAAACCACUGCGCCACCAGGACUGCCCCUCUUUUGGUCUUAAACACCUACGCUCUUGAGGAGUAGAAGGAAUAAGGAAUGAAGAGAAAAAAUGAAGAAAAGGAAAAAGCAGGAGGUGAUAACUGUUGGGAGAAGCACGUUCAAAUGUUAGAAAGAGAAAUUUAGAAGUUUAAAGAAAUUAAUCACUUCUUGCUUCAUCCUGUAAGUCCUGAAGUGUUCAGAGGACCAUGUGGGAAGAUGUUGGUAGCUGCCUGCAGGAUCCUAUCAAAAAAUAAAAUCAAAGAACUUAGGCCACAUGGUUAAAUUGGCAGUAUCUAUUAGUUAUCAGUUUUUCUCCCUAGCGCUUUGCGAACAUUAUUCUCUGAUAUUUUUACUAGUGAGAAAUUAGACAUUAGAAAUCACUCCAUUGGGCAGCCUGAGUGGCUCAGUGGUUUAGCACUUGCCUUCGGCCCAGGCUGUGAACGCGGGGUCCCAGGAUCGAGUUCCACAUCUGCUCCAGGAGGGGAGCCUGCUUCUCCUUCUGCCUGUGUC